CNCUNNGCUAACAGCUAGAGUGUGAUCCUAGCGCCAGCAGUCAGAACAUUGCUACCAUUGCCGGCGAGCGGGGGACGGGAGGCCAAUGUCUGGGAAACUGCCUGAUGGAGGGGGAUUACUACAGAAAACGGUAGCUAAUACCGCAUGACCUCAAAAGAGCAGAGUGGGGGAUCUUCGGACCUCACGCCAUCGGAUGUGCCCAAAUGGGAUUAGCUAGUAGGUGAGGUAAUGGCUCACCUAGGCGACGAUCCCUAGCUGGUCUGAGAGGAUGACCACCCACACUGGAACUGAGACACGGCCCAUACUCCUACGGGAGGCGGCAGUGGGGAAUAUUGGACAAUGGGCGCAAGCCUGAUGCACCCAUGCCGCGUGUGUGAAGAAGGCCUUAGGGUUGUAAAGCACUUUCAGCGAGGAGGAAGGCAUCACACUUAAUACGUGUGGUGAUUGACGUUACUCGCAGAACAAGCACCGGCUAACUCCGUGCCAGCAGCCGCGGUAAUACGGAGGGUGCAAGCGUUAAUCGGAAUUACUGGGCGUAAAGCGCACGCAGGCGGUUUGUUAAGUCAGAUGUGAAAUCCCCGCGCUUAACGUGGGAACUGCAUUUGAAACUGGCAAGCUAGAGUCUUGUAGAGGGGAGUAGAAUUCCAGGUGUAGCGGUGAAAUGCGUAGAGAUCUGGAGGAAUACCGGUGGCGACCGCGGCCCCCUGGACAAAGACUGACGCUCAGAUGCGAAAGCGUGCGGAGCAAACAGGAUUACAUGCCCUGGCAGUCCACACUGUAAACGAUGUCGACUUGGAGGUUGUGCACUUGAUGCGUGCCUUCCUGAAGCUAACGCGUUGACUCGACCGGCCUGGAGAGUACGGCCGCAAGUCUACAAACUCAAAUGACUUGACGGCGGGCCCAGCACGAGCGGUGGGAUGAUGUUGUUUCAUUUCGAUGCAACGCGAAGU
rnacentral:rRNA from 1 species